UGGCUCAGGACGAACGCUGGCGGCGUGCCUAAUACAUGCAAUUCCAGCGAGUCUGCCUUGAAGAUCGGAGUGCUUGCACUCUGUGAAACAAGAUACAGGCUAGCGGCGGACGGGUGAGUAACACGUGGGUAACCUGCCCAAGAGAUCGGGAUAACACCUGGAAACAGAUGCUAAUACCGGAUAACAACAGAUGAUGCCUAUCAACUGUUUAAAAGAUGGUUCUGCUAUCACUCUUGGAUGGACCUGCGGUGCAUUAGCUAGUUGGUAGGGUAACGGCCUACCAAGGCGAUGAUGCAUAGCCGAGUUGAGAGACUGAUCGGCCACAUUGGGACUGAGACACGGCCCAAACUCCUACGGGAGGCAGCAGUAGGGAAUCCUCCACAAUGGACGCAAGUCUGAUGGAGCAACGCCGCGUGAGUGAAGAAGGGUUUCGGCUCGUAAAGCUCUGUUGUUGGUGACGAAGGACAGGGGUAGUAACUGACCUUUGUUUGACGGUAAUCAAUUAGAAAGUCACGGCUAACUACGUGCCAGCAGCCGCGGUAAUACGUAGGUGGCAAGCGUUGUCCGGAUUUAUUGGGGCGUAAAGCGAGUGCAGGCGGCUCGAUAAGUCUGAUGUGAAAGCCUUCGGCUCAACCGGAGAAUUGCAUCAGAAACUGUCGAGCUUGAGUACAGAAGAGGAGAGUGGAACUCCAUGUGUAGCGGUGAAAUGCGUAGAUAUAUGGAAGAACACCGGUGGCGAAGGCGGCUCUCUGGUCUGUUACUGACGCUGAGGCUCGAAAGUAUGGGUAGCGAACAGGAUUAGAUACCCUGGUAGUCCAUACCGUAAACGAUGAGUGCUAAGUGUUGGGAGGUUUCCGCCUCUCAGUGCUGCAGCUAACGCAUUAAGCACUCCGCCUGGGGAGUACGACCGCAAGGUUGAAACUCAAAGGAAUUGACGG
rnacentral:rRNA from 1 species